rnacentral:rRNA from 1 species
GAUGAACGCUAGCGGCAGGCUUAAUACAUGCAAGUCGAGGGGUAGCAAGAUUGUAGCAAUACAAUUGUUGACGACCGGCAAACGGGUGCGGAACACGUACACAACCUUCCUACAAGUGGGGAAUAGCCCAGAGAAAUUUGGAUUAAUACCCCGUAACAUAGCGAUGUGGCAUCACAUUGCUAUUAUAGCUUCGGCGCUUGUUGAUGGGUGUGCGGCUGAUUAGAUAGUUGGCGGGGUAACGGACCACCAAGUCUACGAUCAGUAGCUGAUGUGCGAGCAUGAUCAGCCACGCGGGCACUGGGACACGGGCCCGACGCCUACGGGAGGCAGCAGUAAGGAAUAUUGGACAAUGGACGCAAGUCUGAUCCAGCCAUGCCGCGUGAAGGAUUAAGGUCCUCUGGAUUGUAAACUUCUUUUAUAAGGGACGAAAAAAGGUCUUUCUAGAUCGUCUGACGGUACCUUAUGAAUAAGCACCGGCUAACUCCGUGCCAGCCGCCGCCGUAAUAC